AUGAAUAAAGGUAUCACGCCUCACGGCUGUGUGUUGGAUCAUUGUGCAAUAGUCUUUGAUCCACUUCCUAUCAUAUCCAUAACACCUGUGCACUGUUGGAUGCUUGCAUCCACUUUUAAACUAACAUUAUUGUAACAAAUGUAGUCUUAUUAUAACAUAAUA
rnacentral:misc_RNA from 1 species